AUACAAUCCUCAAAUCAAACCCUGGUAACAAGCUGAGUUUUGACGAGAGCGCAGCGGCCUAGCGCCUUGACGUCGUCGAUGCGAUUGAGGACGUCGAGCAGCACCGCGUCGUGGAGCCGCUCGAACUGGUCAGCGGCCUCGGCCCCGCCGCACGAGCACUCCUCCUGCUGCUGCCGCGCCGCCUCCAUCCCACGGAGGUUGCAAGCAGCCAGGCACACAGAUCGGGAUCGGGGAGAGGAGCCCGUGUGCUCGUGCUCCCGCCACCUCCUGGCUCGCCGCCGUUCGCGACCAUCUCGCCGUCCGAGUCCGACACCACGGCCCCCCUGGGAUGACGGCGCUGAACACGGCAGCCUGGCCAAGGAGAUUUAUUCUCACGGCGGGAGAUUAAGGUAGUGUUUGGUUACUAGGGACUAAUUUUUAGUCCCUCCAUUUUAUUCCAUUUUAGUCUAUAAAUUGCAAAAUAUGGAAACUAUAACUCUAUUUUAGUUUCCAUAUUUGACAAUUUAGUGACUAAAGUGGAAUAAAUAGGAGGGACUAAAAAUUAGUCUCUAAAACCAAACACCCCCUAAUUAGUGUCCGUAACAACUAAUGGGGUUUUUAUGUCCAUAUCAGCGCUUCGUCGUCGUCUACGCCUCCAAACUGUCGAAGCCCUUCUCUACACCUCCAUUUCGUCGAAACCAACUCUGUCGUGUUCCAUAGUGGCAAUAAUCUCGCCGCAGCUGCCUUCACCUUCACCCCUUGUUUUCGACGAUUCCAUUGCUCCUCCCUCAAAGGCCACGGCCUUUUCAGGAACCAACUGUGACAAUCCAGUCAAUUAUGAUCUCUAGCCCCCCUCCUUCCGGCUCCUGUCAUCCUGCGCAUGCCAUCGGGGCGCUCGCCGGGACAACAUUUACCUCGACAGCGACGCCGCCGCUCUCCCUCGACGAGAGCUCGUAGCUGUGUCCGCGCAAGGCUUACUCCUUUCUUGGCCCCGACCCCUUCUCCCCGCCGCCGGCGCCGCGCUUGGCUUGAUGCUCGACGUCUGCGCGCCACACGGGCCCGCCAAGCUCCCGGCUGCGUUUGUCGCCGGCGUGCGAGUCGCCUGGGUCGCCGGCAGGUGGUGGUGGCGAUCCGUGGCGGUGGGGGCGGCGCGCCAUGGCGUCACCACGCGGGCGUCGUUCUUCGGGCUCGAUUCCCAGAAUUUUCAGACAAGGGACCCGUCCCAGUUGUUGUGGAUCGGUCCGGUGCCUGGUGACAUCGCGGAGAUUGAGGCCUACUGCCGCAUAUUCCGUGCUGCCGAGCAGCUCCACACCGCAGUUAUGUCAGCACUUUGUGAUCCAGAGACAGGAGAGUGUCCUGUACGCUAUGAUGUGGAAUCAGAGGAUCUGCCAAUCCUGGAAGACAAGGUCACUGCCGUCCUUGGUUGCAUGCUGGCGUUGCUGAACCGGGGAAGGAAUGAGGUGCUCUCAGGGAGAUCAGGUGUUGCAAGUGCUUUCCAUGGAUCUGUGGACAGCACCUCUGAUAUGAUCCCACCACUCACCUUGUUCCGUGGAGACAUGAAGCGUUGCUGUGAGAGUAUGCAGCUGGCACUUGCCAGCUACCUUGUACCGAGUGAGCCCAGGGGGUUGAAUAUAUGGAGGAAGCUGCAGAGAUUGAAGAACGCUUGUUACGAUGCAGGUUUCUCAAGGCCUGAUGGUUAUCCAUGUCCGACAUUAUUUGCGAAUUGGUUUCCGGUGUACCUUUCGAUUGUGUCAGAUGAUUCAGGAACAGAUGAGCCCGAGGUUGCAUUUUGGAGGGGAGGGCAAGUCAGUGAGGAGGGGCUGGCAUGGCUACUAGAAAAGGGAUUCAAAACUAUUGUUGAUCUCCGGGAAGAAGAUGUUAAAGAUGAUUUGUACCUUUCAGCAGUUCAGGAGGCUGUCUCAUCUGGGAAGAUAGAGGUGGUGAAUAUGCUGGUUGAGAUCGGAACUGCACCAUCAGCUGAACAGGUUAAACAAUUUGCAGCUCUUGUGUCAGAUGGCGCAAAGAAGCCCAUUUAUCUCCAUAGCAAAGAAGGUGUUUCUAGGACGUCUGCAAUGGUCUCAAGAUGGAAACAAUAUGUUACUCGUUCAGAGAGAUUGGCUGUCCAAAAUCACUAUAUAAAUGGGAAUGGUAAGGUCCUGACAAGUGACAAGACCAAGCAGCACACGGGCAGCCCAAGCUCCUCUAUGAAUCGAACUGAAAUUGGUAUGGUAACGGAAUCUGAUAGGACCAUGAACAAUGGAGAAUCAUGUGAGAUAGACAUAGAGACAGCUCGUCAUAAUCUGGAGGUCACUAAUGCCCUUUCCGAUGACCAAAGUACUCAACAAGGUGAAAUGCUUGGGACUGGGACAGAACCCUUGUCAAACUUUAAACUGGAGAGUAACCCCCUUAAAGCACAAUUUCCUACUUGUGAUAUUUUCUCUAGAAAAGAGAUGAGCAAGUUUUUUAGAAGCAAAAAGGUUUAUCCAAAAUCUGUUCUGAACUCAAGGAGACAAUCAAGUAGCUUGCUGGUCUCAAGGAGAAAACAAAAUUUCAGCACAGAGCGUAAUGGAACCAUUGACUAUGAAGCAGCAGAGUUCACAAUUUUAGAAAGUUCAAAUGGAACAUCAUUUGACAAUGAUUAUAUUCUAUCAGUUUCUUCAGGUAUCACUGAUGGAAAACCUUCCAACAAUGGAGCCUUUUCGUUAAUUGAGAAAAAGGAAAGGGAAGUUUCAGUCACUACUUUUGAUACUAGAGCAUCGGCGAGCAGUUCUAAUGGAAAGGUUCAGGUUGGAUCACAAAAAACUGCUGAAAAGAAUGGUACCCCUUAUCUGGAGAGAAACAAUUCAAAUAAUGUUGAUGGAAGUAUGUGUGCAUCUGCAACUGGUGUCGUUAGACUCCAGUCGAGAAGAAAAGCAGAGAUGUUUCUGGUACGUACUGAUGGAUUUUCUUGUACUAGAGAAAAAGUAACAGAAUCAUCUCUGGCUUUUACACAUCCUAGUACCCAGCAACAGAUGCUUAUGUGGAAAUCUCCUCCAAAGACUGUCUUACUUUUGAAGAAAUUAGGCGAUGAGCUGAUGGAAGAAGCUAAAGAGGUUGCUUCAUUUCUGCAUCAUCAAGAAAAAAUGAAUGUUCUUGUGGAACCUGAUGUUCAUGAUACAUUUGCUAGAAUUCCAGGUUAUGGUUUUGUGCAAACCUUCUAUACUCAAGAUACCAGUGACCUUCAUGAGAGAGUUGAUUUUGUUACAUGCUUGGGUGGUGAUGGACUCAUUUUGCAUGCAUCAAACUUAUUUAGAACUUCUGUACCACCUGUUGUCUCCUUCAAUCUCGGAUCUCUUGGGUUCUUAACUUCACAUAAUUUCAAAGAUUUCAGACAAGACUCGAGAGAUUUAAUCCAUGGGAACAACACACUUGGAGUUUAUAUAACCCUUAGAAUGCGCCUAAGAUGUGAGAUCUUUCGUAGUGGAAAAGCAAUGCCUGAUAAAGUGUUUGAUGUGCUGAAUGAAGUUGUUGUUGAUCGAGGUUCCAAUCCAUACCUAUCAAAAAUUGAGUGUUAUGAGCAUAACCACCUUAUCACUAAGGUGCAAGGUGAUGGGGUGAUAGUUGCAACACCAACAGGCAGCACGGCAUAUUCUACUGCAGCUGGGGGAUCAAUGUAAUUUGUCUAGGUUCAUCCAAAUGUCCCAUGCAUGCUGUUUACUCCAAUCUGCCCUCACUCACUGUCAUUUAGACCUGUCAUCCUUCCGGAUUCCGCACGGCUUGAAUUAAAGAUACCAGAUGAGGCAAGAAGCAAUGCAUGGGUUUCAUUUGAUGGCAAAAGGCGGCAGCAACUAUCAAGAGGAGACUCUGUUCGUAUAUCCAUGAGUCAGCACCCGCUACCAACUGUUAAUAAAUCUGACCAAACGGGUGAUUGGUUCCGCAGCCUGAUCAGGUGCCUCAACUGGAACGAGAGAUUAGACCAGAAGGCACUAUAGACACUAGAAUCUUUUUUUAUUUUUUGAUGUACAUAUGUAAAUUCACGCACAAAUAUAGUUUUGUUUUUUCUGCCAACAUGUACAGUGCGUAACAACAAAGAACUUUGCAUAUCAAGGAUCUAA